AGCAAACACCGAUUUGCACACUGUAAGGCAUGUUGAAAAGGGCUUGCAGAAGACGCCGACCGUGCCGUGAGCAAUCGGCUUUUCACCACUGGAUAUCUGUUGACAUUACCAUAAUGCAUUCCUUUGGAGCAGCUCCCAGGUAUAGUCAUCCCAUUGCUUUAUAUAAAGUCUCAUUUGGGGACAAACGUGAUUUGGCAGCAACAAACGUGUGUCGGGGUCAGAUUGGCACUGAAACCCUAAAAAGCAGAGGGAGCAGGUAGCUGGACCUUAGCGCAGCCAUACGUCUCUCCUCCCUCCAGUUGUGUGUGUGUGUGUGUGUUUAAAUUUUGUUUUCCUCUCCUGUGAAUAUCACCACCAUGUAAUAGCUGAUAUAGUGGAUCAGUGCUACUUUCUGCCCACUCAUGAUUAGAGAUGAAUGGAUCAGUCAGUUUUGGUUCUUCCAGUUUCCCAUGUCUCCAAAUUUGGUCUCCAUAUUAAAUAUAUGGAGGGAGGGAGGGAGGGAGGGAGGGAGGAAGGGAGCCUAUUGCUGCAGAAAUAUGGAGGAAGAAUAAAAUAUAAGAUUGAAAAAAUGAGACUAGGUGGGCCAUUGGCCUGAUCCAGCAGGCUCUUCUUAGGUUCUUAGUUUCCAGACCCCUAUCCUGAAUGAAAGAUCUCAUAAGAAUUGGACAAUGGACAGAGAUAGGCAUUUGGGGUCUGCUCCUUGGCUAGGAGCUUGCCAGUGAUCCUCUCCAGCUUCCUCUGCUGCUCUACAGAGGGGCCUUCAGAAUUCUCCUUGGUCAGAACUUUGCUUACAUUUGGCUGCUUUUAAGGAAGUGAGUGUAACAUGUAGUUGGGCUCUGGACUGGGUGUACAAAGUUAUGAAGCAAUGCACGCCAUGCUCGUUUUCUUUUAAUUCACCUGGCCAAGUUGCAAAAUAACCGUUCCUCUGGGCAAUCCUUUUACAGGGAACCAGAAAUAAUAAUUCAUACUCAUGACAAGAAAGAAAUAGCCACAAAGGAGCCACAAUUUCAAAUACAAUUGUAACAAGGCAGCUAUGGUGCCAUAAAUCAGGUCCCCAAAGAGGUGCUGUCAGGUUGUUCAUUAGAUUAGGUACAACCAUUUUAUUCUUCUUAAAGCAAGGGCAGAUUUAGUGUCUCCAAACUUUCCAAUUUUUAUUUCCAUCAAGGAGAAGCUUACCAGGGUAGCAGGUGGGAAUUUGGCCACUGCAUGUGAAUCACUCUGUCCGAGAAUCUGUUCUGUGUUUCCUAUGCUAUGUAGGGUAAUAAAAUGGCUUUACAGCCAACAUAUAACUUUUCCCAUAAUGUAUAUACUAUAAGGAAAGCACUUUCUCUUCCCCACCUGAAAAGUGAUCCUGUGAGAAUCAUUUUAAGAAUCUUACCAAGAUUUUUGUUGCUAACUGCAAAGAUUCACAAGCAAUCCCCCUACCAACCCAAGAAACAUUGAAAAACUUACAGAAGUUCGAAUUUGGUUUUUUUCAAAACAUGAGUAUUAAAAUCUGAAUUUGAGUUUCAAAUAUCCAGGCAUCUUCCAGCAGGAAAAAAAGUGGGGAUGGAUGUUCAGUCUAUAGGAGAAGGGCGAGGAGAGGGAUUCCAGGACCUCUCUGUUGGCUCAGUUUAGAGACCAGCUACUUCCCAUAUAAUGUUCCAUUUGGGCCACUUGCACCCAGUACUCCAUGAAUCUCAUCCUAGAAGAUGCAUUAUGUUGUAGAUCUUUCCCAUUCGAAAUGGGUCUCCUUUCUCCCUUCCUGCCCAGAGCUGCAGGAGUGAAGGAACAAAUUGCUCUUGCCAGAGGUCUGAACAGAUCAUUUGCAGCGGGCUUUUGAAAUUAGUCUGGGGACCUCAGGUUGCUUAUCUGUACUCUAGUAUAUAAUGAUAUUCUAUACCAGGGAUGGGGAACCAGGAGCCAGAUGCAUCCAUCUCUAGGACUCUUGAGACUCUCCUCAGGCCACACCCCUCCCCUGGGCCACCCUCCUUCACCAGCCCUACUUCGUACUUUACUUUCCCCUGUCUGAAAUGUCUCCCUGAACUCCAAUGAUGCCUCUUGGUUGCUGGGGUGAAGAUAGAGGUGCUCAUGUGUAGAAGCUCUCCUGCUGUCCAGAUGUAAACUUUACAUGCAUUGCUUUUGCCUCUGGCCCUGCCCGGAGAUUGCCCAGAAAGUAAUGUGGCCCUUGGUUCACCUAUCCCGCUUCUAGUAUAUCAUAAAAUUAGUUCAGUUAGUAGAUCAUGAGACUCUUAAUCUCAAGGUUGUGGGUUCAAGCCCUACAUUGUUUGCUGCACUGCAGGGGGUUAAACUAGAUGCCCCUUGUGGUCCCUUCCAAUUCUACGAUCUGUGAUGCACUAUAAUAUAUUUAAAGAGUAGCCACACUCUUGGAUUUCAAAACAGGGCAGGUUAUUGCUUGAGAACAUUAGUUUAGAGAAGAUGGAAUAGAGGCCUUAGCAGAAGAUCUUGGCCAGAGACCUUAGGUCUGCAAACAAACAGGGAUGUUGCAAAUGCACUGUGAUUUCUGUUUUGUGUAUGUAUGACAUGUUGGUGUGCUUAGAUUAUAAUACUGUGGUUAUGAUUUAAUAGAUAGAAUAUAGGGUGCGGCAGAAGGGGAGAAACAAAAACUCCAUGGAAAACAGGGUGGGAAGUCAACAACGAUAAGAAAAAAAGACAUAAUUGUAUUUUGAUUUCAUAUGCUAAAAAUGUUGACGUUUAAUAAAAUAUUUUUUAAAAAAUGUUAGUGUGUGUGGAUUUGUGAAGAACCAUAGAAUAAUAGAAUUGUAGAGUUGGAAGGGACCCAAAGCACCAUCUAGUCCAACCCCUUUCAGAAGACAAUUGUUUGAAAUACUUUGGAUAUGAAAUAUCCCCCUUUUACCUACACAGUUGGUCCUGUUGAUGCUUGUUUUUGUCUUUCUAAGAAGAACAAAAUCCCUCCAGUGAUGGCUUUGUACCAAAAUGUAACUACGUACCUGAAGACUUGAUCAAUGCAUCUGAAAAGUCAUCGUGGUAGAAUCCCACCUAGAGAGCAUCACUUCAGUGGCAGGCUGCCUUUUCUCCCACCUGAAAUAAUCAUCACCACCAUCAUUGUGAUGCAGAAAAAUAGCACCUAAGGGGGAUGCUGCUGCUGCAAACUUUCUCCUUGAGCUGCUAAUUGUCCCCAUUCAGAGAGGUUGUUUCUUUUACAAGCACAGGACUCCACCAAGCGAUUUCUUUGAACGUUUAGCUUGGCUGCCUGCUACAGCAGCAGCAAAUCUCUUACAUGUCAUGGGGAGUUUAUUGAAACGUGAAACCUUCCUUCGCCUUCUUCUCAGUCCAUGUGACAAGACUCUCCGGCAAAUGAUAUGGCGGAGUAGGGAUUGCAACGGCUUUUAAUUUCUGACAGCCUUGUCGUGACAAAAAAGAGCAGUUGCCAAAUGUGAACGUGUCACCCCAUCCUGAGAGUGACAUUGCAAAGUAGCAUAUUAGCUUUUUUAAAAAGAAAAAUUUGAAGCGAUAAUAUUCAAGGCCUUGGGAUUUCCUGGGGAUUGAUGAUUGGCUGGGGGAGUUGAUGGCCUGAAGCAGAGCUCCGGGCUGUUAAGCAAGAUGGUCAUUAAUUUCCCAGGAAAUGGUUUGGUCGGAGGACUUCAUUGCUAUUAUGGGAUAAUAGUUUUCAAAGACAUGAGUUUUUGGGUUGCUGUUUCCUCCAACUCCCAUCCUUAAUUUUGUUGGAAAAUAAGCAGUCUAUUAGGAAACCUUGAGACUUGACUACUGUAAUGCACUGUACCUGAGGCUGCCCUUGUACCUGGUCCAAAAGCUAUAAGAAGAAGAAGAAGAGUUUGGAUUUGAUAUCCCGCCUUUCACUCCCUUUAAGGAGUCUCAAAGCGGCUAACAUUCUCCUUUCCCUUCCUCCCCCACAACAAACACUCUGUGAGGUGAGUGGGGCUGAGAGACUUCAAAGAAGUGUGACUGGCCCAAGGUCACCCAGCAGCUGCAUGUGGAGGAGCAGAGACGCGAACCCAGUUCCCCAGCUUACGAGACUACCGCUCUUAACCACUACACCACACUGUAGUUUGUUGGCAACCACUGUAGGUUAUUGGCAAAAUGUUACUACGUUGUGGAAAGAGCUGCACUGGUUGCUGAUUUACUAAAAGGCCAGGUUCAAGGAUCUUUUGUUAAUUCAUAAUUCAGCAUUAAGGUGUGCCUGAUUCCUUAUGCUCCACCUCAGUCAUGGAGAUCUUCUGAUGGAGAACUUUUGGUUUCCCUGCACACACCACUGAUUUUUGGUUUACUGAAGACCAAGGAUGAGUGCGACUCAGAAAAGACCCACUGAAAGCAAUGGGCCUAAGGUAGUAACUUUUAUUUAUUCAAAUUCAUUCAUUUUGAUGGGUUUACUCUAAGCAGGACUUACGUUGGACGCAACCCCAAGCCUUUAGUGUGACAAGUCUAUGGAAGAAGGGGCGAAAUAGUUGAUUUCAUAUUUAUAAAUCAUGACAUAUACUCAUGCUGUUAUUUGUUACAUCAUUGCAUCAUUGUGGUGUUUUUUUUGAGCAAAUAACCUUCUUUUUGCCUAUCUUGAAAAAGUCAAUAAAUAUAUCCCUCCCUUCCCAAAUUAUAAUAAUCAGUACCACAAUUUGCAGAAACUCCUGGAUCUAGCUUUCCAGUAGAUGACCAGAUUGUGAGAGGCAUAAAUCCUCUAUCCCAGCUCAGACGGGCCUCAGCAAGCUCAACUGGAGCUAGCUCAACUGGAGGUGGGGAAAAAAAAUCCUGUAAAAGUGUCUUAAUUUUAAUGUACUUUUCCUAAAUGUGGGUACCAUCCAAACUUCAGAUGCUGCUCAGUAGGGCUUAAUGGACCAGUGGGGCCACUGCUGCAUCUGCAGCCUUGCUCAACACAUUGAUAGUAGUGGAAGGUGAGCAAAUAAAUCAUUGCAGCAGCCGGGAGGGAAUGCUGCAAUGGGGUCCAGCUCAAGCCCAAUGCCACCAGAACUACCUUUGAAGGUGACCCAGAAACUACAACUAAUCCAGAAUGCGGCAGCUAGACUGGUGUCUGGGAAUGGCCGCCGAGACCACAUAACACUGGUCCUGAAAGACCUACAUUGGCUCCCAGUACAUUUCCAGGCACAAUUCAAAGUGUUGGCACUGACCGUUAAAGCGCUAAACAGCCUCAGCACAGUAUACCUGAAGGAGCGUCUCCACCCCUAUCGUUCAGCUCCGAGGGCCUUCUAGCGGUUCCCUCAUUGCAAGAAGUGAGGUUACAGGGAACCAGGCAGAGGGCCUUCUCGGUAGUGGUGCCCGCCCUGUGGAAUGCCCUCCCAUCAGAUGUCAAGGAAAUAAACAACUCUCCAACUUUUAGAAGAGACCUGAAGACGGCCCUGUUUAGGGAAGUUUUUAAUGUUUAAUGUAUUUAUCAUGUUUCUAAUAUGCUAUUGGGAGCUGCCCAGAGUGGCUGGGGAAACUCAGCCAGAUGGGCGGGCUAUAACUAAUAAAUUAUCAUUAUCAUCCUGUUUCAGGGCAUUUUUGGUCACUGCCAGUGUUGGAGAUUCUGAUGAGACCACUUCAACUGUCCCACUUUGGGCAGGUGGAAGGGGGAGCAGGCACCACUCCUCAGGCGAAUGUGGGAAAGUGUGUGCAGACAGAUACCUCCACACAAUCCCGCCCCCAGCCCAGCAGAAAGGAGCUUUGGAUUCCACUCUGUCCCAGUCUGUAUUUCUGCAGCCAUGUUGCGAGAGUGCAAAAUUCAGUAUUUCUGGCAGGGAGAAAUCCAUAUCACAGUGACUUUCCUAUUCUUCCCCCAUCUUGCGUGAAGAACCCCUAGUGGACUGAAAGGGAAGAAAGAGAGAGAACAGGGCUUUCCAUCUUUCUAUAGCAGCUGUCAGAAGUGAUCACUGCGACAACCAGCCAGAGGCUCCUUUCGACACUGAGGUUUAUAUGUGCGCAGGAAGUGGGCCAGUGGCAUACCCUCCAUUAAUUACAGGAUCUGCUUGUGGGGAACAAAUUGGAGGAACUCUAUGCUAGAGCUGACACCGGAAAGAUAGAUAGAUAGAUAGAUGAUGAUAGAUAGAUGAUAGAUAGAUAGAUAGAUAGAUAGAUAGAUAGAUAGAUAGAUAGAUGAUAGAUAGAUAGAUAGAUAGAUAGAUAGAUAUAGAUAGAUAGAUGAUAGAUAGAUAGAUAGAUAGAUGAUAGAUGAUAGAUGAUAGAUGAUAGAUAGAUAGAUAGAUGAUAGAUAGAUAGAUAGAUAGGAGAGAGAGAGAGAGAGAGAGAGAGAGAGAGAGAGAGAAGCCACAAUAAUGAUGUCAAGUCAGCUGAUCUCUGAUCUCCUUUUUUCAAGUUCUGGACAUCUGACAAUGGCACGGAGGACUCCUGAAGUCAAACGUGACCUAAUUGAUUUUCCAGCAAAAGCAAGUGAAGCCAUACAACAAAGGAGAUGAAUGAUGGACAUGGGAUACAGCAAUUGCUUCAAUUACUCUGAUUUCAUAUCAGACCCACCCGGGAAGGAGAUGUGUUCUCAGCUCUUGCCCCUGUCAUAUCCACGAUGAAAUGGAUGCCGGAGGGAUGGCAGUGACAGGAAAUAAGGUGAAACAUGCCAGCAAAGGAGAAAUUUACUCAUUUGCCGGCUCCAUUUUGACCCUUCAGGGCUGUCAUUGCACAUCACCACAGAUGCAACUCACCUCAGAGAAGUCAGAUGCCCUAACUCAGAGGAGGGGUAGGAUAUCCAUCCACCACAACCGAGAGGUGAAUGGACAUGUACAUGUUUUGAGAAAAUCCUGAAUGCAGACCUGAAAUGGCUUAGCUAAUGUUUGGAUCCUUCUAGGCUGCACCCUUUCAGGAAUCAAUCGCGUGUAGGAAUGUAUCAUGUCAUGAGAAAAGGCUUUUGGCAAGACUGCAGCAUGAGAGAGGACAGUAAUAAGGGCAGUGGGCUUCUUUUUAUCGGGCAUAAAUGUAUAUGUGUAGUUAGAAUUCCCACCUAAACUGGUGAGGCUCCACUAUUAUAUCCACUUUCUGUUUUAUGCUAGGUGAGACAGUAAUAGUGGAGCCUCACCAGCAGUUUAAGUGGGAAUCCUAUGUGCAAAUCUUGCAUCUCAGCAGUACAACACAUGUUUUGGAUGCAGAAGGUCCAAGAGUCCUUCUCCAGAUCAUCUUCCACAGAAGACGUCUGCCUAAAUCCUUGGAGAGCCACUGUCAGUCUGUGUAGACAAUGCUGGGUGUCUCCAAAAAUUUUUACACAUCACUUGGGAAGACAGGUGGACUAAUGCCAGUGUACUGGAAGAAGCAAAGAUCACCAGUGUCGAAGCAAUGAUACUUCAACAUCAACUUAGUUGGACUGGUCAUGUUGUGCAGAUGCCUGAUGUUCAUCUUCCAAAGCAACUGCUCUAUUCCAAACUUAAAAAUGGAAAGCGUAAUGCUGGUGGUCAACAAAAGAGGUUUAAAUACCCUUUUAAGCAAAUCUUUAAAAAUGUAGUAUAAACACCGACAACACUGGCCUGUGAGCAAUCCAAUUGGAGAACAGCCUUUACCAAAGGUGUUGUGGGCUUUGAAGACCCUCGAACUCAGGACGAAAGAGAGAAACGUGAGGAAAGUACACUUGGCGAACCCUCACCAUGAUCAACUCCCGCCUGGAAACCUAUGUCCCCACUGUGGAAGGAUGUGUGGAUCCAGAAUUGGCCUCCAGAGUCACUUACAGACUCGCUGUUAAGACCGUGUUCAUGGAAGACAAUCUUAUUCAGCCGCCAAAGAAAAGAAGAGGAAGAAGGACUUGGCAUAUGACAGUGUCUAAUACCUGCUUUAUGUUUUAUGCUAAGUGAGAGAGUAAUAGUGGAGCUUCACCACCAGUUAAAGUCACUGUCAUGGGACUAGCACACCCCAGCUGAGAACUUUCGGAAGCAUUGUUUUCACUAGCUGCUACGUAGUGUUCCUUUCAACUGGAUAGUCCCAUGCAGGGGUAAUGACUCCUCUGGGCUGAACCCCCCUUUGAGCCCUCCCAAUAUUUGUUACUGGGCAGAGCACCCACAAUGAUCAUCUGGGCAUCACUUUUGAUGUCAUGAUGUCGUAUGGGAUGCCUGGAUACGACACUAUAGCGCACAAUACCAGGAAUACAGCAGCUCCUCCUCCUCCUUCUGCGGCAUCAUUUGGAUUUGCUGGUGACACAUGGGGGGGGGGGGAGAAAAGGCAAGAUCUUGUAUGAAACUGCACUGGGAAGCUGGUUUGUGUGAGAAUGACGAUCCAAAAGCUCAAUCUGAUCUUCCAAACAGUUUCUUGUAUUGUGUCACCGAAGGCUGAGGCUUUUAAAAGGGGACACUUCUGUGUUGACAUCAUGGCAGCCUUUUCUUCUGAGUGCAAGAAGCCUUAGAGGAAGAAGGAAAGAGCCACUUUCACAGCGGCCUUCAUUAUGUGCCUCUCUCUUUGUGACUGGUAAUGGCUUUGACAUUUGCAGACUUCGCUUCGAAACCAUGCCUGGCAGGCAGCAACAGCAGCAGCUCAGGAAGAAAAUAAAUAAAUAAAUGCCAAGAUGGCCUCUUCAUGAUGGCUUAAAGAGACAGCAAAACCUCAUUGUUUUCACCUGCUUCCAGAAUGACCACUUCUCUUGGCUGGGGAUCACAAGAAAGCCUGUCUUGCUCUGAUAAAACCCUCUGGAGAAGAAACCGUCAACAGCUCCAGUGGUCGACUGCAUAAAAGGAGCAGCUGUUGAAGAUCAUAAGGAGAACCCCUAAGAAAGGGUGAGGUUUCACUAGACUAGAUCUAGGACCCAUCUAGUCCUGGGUUGGAAGGUCUUUUCCAGAGCGAGGGCCACAUUCCCUUCUGGAAAACAUUCCAAGGGCCACAUGCCAGAAAUGGGCAGGGCCACAGGUAAAUGUGUGUGGAACAAUACAUGCAAAUUUUGCCUUUGUAGAGUAGGCUAGUUUCUGCAAACCCCACCACAGCCCUCUCUGUCUACCAUCUGGACAACCAAGUGGCACUAUGAGAGUCAAAAGACACAUUCCAGCCAGGCAAAAACACUCAGAGAGGGUAUCAGGAGGGUUGUGGCCUGGGGGAUGUGUGCCACUGUUGAGGGAUUGUAUCCUUGGAAGAGUGCUGAGGGCCAAAUAGAGAAGCUUGAAGGGCUACAUGUGGUCUACUGGACCUGAGGUUCCCCACCUCUGGUCUAUUGUUGACUUGUGGAAGUCAGCUAGUCAGCUGGAAGUCACCACACCUCAGCCAGUGUGAUGCUUCAGCAGAGUAUGCAGUGCCCCAGCAGAGUCUUCAGAGAUUUCCUGCUCCCGGCAGAACAGCUUCUUCCAGAGUCCAUGCAGCAGCGCAGCUAGCUGCUCCGGCACCCGGAGCGGCGGGGGUGGGGCGAGCCACCCACCGGGGGUUGGGGCGAUUUGCCCACAAGGGUGCUGUGGCGAUCUGUCCACAGAGUCCACCUGGCAGACACAAGCCCCACGCUGCUGUUUUGGGCAGUGUGGGGCCCCAAGCCACCGCAUUACUCCUAGGAGAGACAUGUGGUUCAGGCGCGCUGCAGGCCAGGCCCCGUGGUAAGUGCUGCCCCCUGCGGUGUGCCAUUUUGUCACACCCUCAGGGAUGAUACCUGGGGCGAACCACACACCCCCACACCCCACUUCCUAUGCCCCUGAGUCCAUAGGAAUGGUAAAUCUGGGUUAAACAAUGGUGGCGGUGAGAUGGCAUUUUGAUGAGGAUGACAUAAUGUUACUUGAGAGGCCACCUUAUCGCCUGCACACCCAUUAGGUCGCUGUGGUCUGCAAGGCAGUUUCUCCAUCAAGUUCCAAGGAUCUCAUAAGCCUGAGCCAUAGUAACUUAAGGCAGGGCUUUCGCUGUGGCUGCUCCUGUUCUGUGGAACAGCAUUCCUAUCAAUAUAUGACAGCUGUCCACUAUUUGCACUUUCCAGAAACAAUUUAAUAAAUUUAUGUUGCUAAGGCUUUCCCAGCUGCAUGAAUAGGCCUCUGCCGUGGGUGUCUGUAUUAUUAUUUUAAUCACUUGCUGUCAUUCUCUGUGUUAAUAACAUAUGAAGAGUGUGCUGGAUCAGGCCAAUGGCCCAUCUAGUCCAGCAUCCUCACAGUGGCCAGCCAGAUGCUUGUGGGGAAACUCACAAGCAGGACCCGACCACAUGAGCACUGGUAUUUAGAAGGUUGCUGCCUUCAAGUGUAGAGACAGAGCAGAGUUUUAAAGACUAUUUUCCCCCAGUUGCUUUUAUUGUGUUCUGCACCUCUUGUUGAACUAUGUGUGUGGAAGUUGAUAAAUAAUGUGUAUGCCGGGGGAAAGAAACUUGAAUGGAUGAGCACCUCCAAGUCCACAAUAGGCUUCCAUGUGGAAGCUGUUAGGUUUCUGUUUGUGCCACUGUGCAGUUUUUGGAGUCACAAGACUCUGUAUACAUUCCAGACUGUUGGAAGUCUCACGGGAGACGGAAGUUGUUGCUACUGGUUUCCUGUUUCUUUGUGCCAGUUGGUUCUCUGACUUCACAGAGAGCAGAUGUAUAGUCCUGAGUAGUUAGAAAUAAACGUAGCAAUGUAGCUCAUAUAUUUCUCUUUCUUCUGCUGCUGUAUGUAUGCUCUGCGUAAUGGGAACAUGUCUGGAGCCUCAUCAAAGGCUUAGGUUGUUAAUCACCUUCAGAGGAGAUUCCAAAGGAUCAACCAGAGGAGCAGCUCGGUCGAACGGAGUUCCGACAGAAGCAGGGGCGUCUUGCCCAUAGAGGCAAGUGGUGCAGGGCGCCAGGGCCCCAAGUUCUGGAGGGCGCCAGGGAAGAGGUGGAGGCUGGACGUGGUGCCUCCCAGCAUCAGCUCGCUGCCCUCGCCCGCCUCCGCCACGCCUGGAGCCUCUGCCUGCCAUGGCCACUGCAGCAUGGGUGCCAGGGAAGAGGCAGAGGCUGGGUGAAGCACGGCACAGCGCCUCCCGGCAUUAUCUCGCCCCUCUCACCCGCCUCGCUGAAGCAGCACCGCACCCGGACCCUCCGCUCCAGCCACUGUCUGCCUCCUCCAGCCCUGCAAAGCUGCCGGCAACUCCAUAAAAAGGUCGGCAACUCUGGGAAAUGGGAGGCGGGGCGGGUGGCACUGGAGGGAUCUUUGCACCACGGCGCCGGAUAUACUUAAGACGCCCCUGUGUGGAAGAACCCUCAGCCCCAUCAAAUUUGGAUCUAGGGGAGUGCUGAUGCUGGGCGCAGAUCUUCUGGGGUGCUGCAGCAGACGCUGCAACUAUGACAUCCAAUUGAAGGUGAGAAGCGGAGGGGGGCUUAUUUUGGUGUUGCUGAACCUUUGAGGUGCCAGGGUCUACCCCUCACCCCAUAUUUCUCUCCAGUGCCUCAUGCUUUGCCCUGGAAGAGUCUGGGCAUCAGGAGGGCUCUUAGCUCUGUCCUGUUUCAAAGUUGACAACACAACAGCAGUGGAUAUAGGAGGGUGUGUGUGUGAGAGAGACAUCUCAGUAUUGGAUUGUGGCUGAUGUGUGUGCACUGCACAACCUCUAAGAUUAAUAGCUCAGAGUCAGGAAAGGAAGCAUCUCAGACUGACAGCCCCAUCUUGACCUGAUGGAUGAGAUGUCCAGCUUAGCUCGGUUAUAAAGCCAACAGCUUUGCUGGGCCAUGGCUCUUUCGGAGAUAGCAAAUCCUACCCCCUCCCCAUUUGUAACAUACCUUAUACUGAACACCAACACAAAUUGAGUAUUGACUUCACUGGGGGAGGAGGGAUGCAUCUUCUUCUUCUUUUAUUGCCUUCCUAACAGCUUUUGAGUCUGUUCUUCUUGGUUAAGGUAUCUUUCCAUUGGGCGUCUUCUGAUUAUCCAGGCAAUUGGUGCAAUGCCUAGGCGGCAAUUUUUGCAAAGCCAGAUUGAUCCACCUAUAUACAAUGCGGCAGGAAAUCAAAGCAUCCUGAUUUCAUGGCUCUUGAUUGAGGCACUUGGGGGCUGGAGAGGGAGCGUGACAUUUGCUCUCAUCUUUUGGCUAUUAUUAGACCUCUUUGUCAUUUCAGGCAAGCCAACAUUCUCAGCAGGAUUAAGCAACGUUCAGUAAUACUGGGCGUCUGAGAUGAAAGGUGAUGGGGAAAAAACAAUGCUGUUCAGCUAGAUCUGUUUGAUUCUGUUGUUUUCUGAUGUGCCAUGAAUAGUGCUAGCUGUGAGUUGUCAAAACUACCUGUUUCAGGAAUGAAUCUGCCCAGUUCAUAAUGCUCAGGAACAAAACAAAUCAAACACUGCCCUGUAUAAUUCUUCUGCAUCUCAGGAUGGAAAACGGAGUAUCCCUGCUAGCCAUCUUAUACUCCUGUGUGUGUUUAUGGGCCAGGAAAACUGGCCACUCCCUGUUGUCUUGAAGUCUCAACGUAAAUUUCUCAUUUAUUGACUAGUUUUCAUUGAGUGCAGCUAUCCUAUCCCCUCCCAGUCUCCUCUUUUCCAGGCUAAACAUACACAGCUCCUUCAACCAUUCCUCAUAAGGCUUGGCUUCUAGACCCUUGAUCAUCUUAGCUGCCUUCCUCUGCACAUGUUCCAGCUUGUCAACACCCUUCCUAAAUUGUGAUCUGGAUCCUUCUGCCUGUCCAUUUAGGACCUGUAGUUUCCUUCUCUGUCUCUCCUGCUUCUGUCUUUCUUACUGAUUUCCUUCAUCUGUCUUUCCUGCUAUCACUGUCAGCCUUGAAGUUUGCUUUGCUGCCAUCCAUUCCCAUCUAUCACCAGGACUCCCCUUUCCCUCUCCCUCUCCUCCAGCCCUGUUAUUUCUUCCCUCCUCUUCUUCCUUCUUCUUGAAAUUUAAUGGCUUAGCAAAAACAUCUCCUUUUUUCAUUCCCACCUGCCAGCUUCUCCCAUUCUCCUUAUCAGCUUCUGGAUUGGCCCAUGGUCACUGCAUAUCUGCUACUGACACCUUAGGUUGACAUCUACCAAGUUUCAGACUACAUGCCCCACCAAUCACAUCCAGCACAGCUGUUGCAGUCCAAAACAUCUGGAGGGCACCAGGUUGGCAAAGGCUGCCAUAGGUAGGCACCGGGCCCCACAGUACCCCACAGUAGCUGUUUGUUGGCACCACCACUGCCAGGAGGAGAGAACACUCCAGUGCUGACCCCUAACAUGUAAAUGUCUCUUUCAGCAAAGCUACAGUUUCUUUCCCAAUACUGCAGAUCAAAUAUUUGUUCUUUGCUUCAUUAGAAUUUAUAUGGUUUGUUUUGCUUUUAAAUCUUACUAUCCAAAUGUAGUGGAUUUAUUGAGCCUGCCAACCUUAUGAAAAUAGUUCUGAUCUGAGCCAACAUGGGCUUUUUUUUUGCAUCUUCAAUGGUUGCAAUAUGGCAAUAAAGGUGCAAUCCUAUGCACACUUUCCUUAGAGUAAAGCCCAUUGAAUUGUGAGGUUUACUUCAUCAGAUUAAGAAUAUAUGAAGCUGUCUUAUUCUGAGCCAGACCAUUGGUAUGUCUAGUUCAGUAUUGUCUAUAUAGAUUGAUAGCACUCUCUAGUGUUUCAAACAGGGAAUUAGACAGGGACGUAAGUGGUGCUGUGGUCUAAACCACUGAGCCUCUUGGGCUUGCCAAUCAGAAGGUUGACGGUUCAAAUGGGUACCACUGAGGCAGGAAGGUAAACAGCAUUUCUGUGCGCUCUGGCACUCAUCACGGUGUCCCAUUGUGUCAGAAGUGAUUUAGUCAUGCUGGCCACAUGACCCGGAAAGCUGUCUGUGGACAAACGGCAGCUCCCUUGGCCUGAAAGUGAGAUGAGCGCCACAACCCCAUAGUUACCUUUGACUGGACUUAACCGUCCAGAGGUCCUCUACCUUUACCUGCCCUACCUGGAGAUGCUGGGGAUUGAACCUGGGAGCUUGUGAUGCAGAAGCUCUGCCAGGGAGCUUGUCAGGCUUCAGGAAAUUGGCUCCCCCCCCCUUUGGCCAUAGAUAAGCAGAACAAAGAAAAUGGGUCUUCUUCCCAGUUAGAAACUUUAAUGAUCACAGCGAGAGAACAAAGAAUCAAUUUCCUAGGAAUGAAGGUGCUCCCAAUUAAGGGUUCCACCCACUUCCUUCCUAGUCAGCCAUGUCACUACAGCAUCCUGUAACCUGAGCUUUCUGUGCUCUUAUCUGCUUUUCUUGACCUUGGGCUAUCCAGCGACUGUGAGUCUGUUAACUCUCUCCCAGUUUUUCUUCUUCAUCCAGUAUUUCCCAGCUUUUGUCUUUUGAACUAUGUUCCUCUACAAACCACUGUUCCAAAUACUGUCCUCCUGCUCCUGGGAAGAUUCAGGAUCAGGACCAUUCUUCCUCAAUGCUGCCCUCCUCAGCACGGUCCCUGGCAGAGCUAGAGAUAUUCCCCUGCAUCCUUUGGGUCUCCUUGGGAACAGAAUGUGAGACUAGAUAACAUAUUUUCUCUGAUCCAGCAGGGCUCUUCUUAUGUUCUGAUUGAAAUGUAAAGCUCUGUAAACCACUUCAUACUGCUUGUGGAAACUCAUAUGGUUAAGUGUUUCUCCAUGCAAAAAUUCCUUGCACAUGGAAAACUAGGAGGUCAAGGAGCAGUGUAGACUGCGUCCAGGCUAUCUAAAAUGACCUCUGAGGAAACAUACAUAGAAUUGUGUGGUAAGGUUGCAGAUGAAUCUAGCACAGGGUGCCUGUCAGUGAUCUAAGACUGAGGGAUCAGUCCUUCAGCACAAAAAACAUUGUCUUCAAAGGAGGUGCUUGAUAAUCCUCCUCGCCUGGCUUGCAGCAAAGCUAAAGAAUUAUUAAGCCCCUGCUGGGCCAUCAUAUUUGGUUUGUGUUGCUGCAAGGAAAAAGUAGGUAUAAAAGGAGAAUUCCCUGGAUCCCAAGAUCCAGGUUUGGGGCAUCCAGGUUCUUGUGAGAGAACCUCUGCAGAGAUUUAAAAUCACAAAAUAUGCAGCAAAUUAAAGCAUAGAAAUAUAGGCUGAUAGACUGUUAAAAUAUGCCCUUGUGAGCUGCAGACGUUUCCCUCUUCCCGUAACAUAGAAAAAGACCACACAUUUGACAAGCUAAAAAUGGUUUACUUACAAACUCUUCAAAGAUCAGGUUCAUGUGCUUUUACUUACAUCAAUCAGAAAGGUUGCACAGGCAGUAAAAGCUGGCUUAGUUACAGUAGUGAAAUUUCCUAAAUUAUUGGUAUAGGAACUCAAAAGUGGCUUGCGAGAGCCAUGUGGCUUUGCCUCUUCACAUGCUGAACUUCUCAGGAAGAUUGAAAGGAAACGAAGCCUUGAUUACCUAGUCUCUCCCAAUGUGAACUAAGUCUGGCAGGACAGCUUACUCUAUGGUCUUAACCCCUUCAUGCAUUAAUUAGAUUUAAGCAUACUGGUUAUAUGAGGCUGUUUAUCCCACAGUUUGAUGAGUCACAAGUUGUUUGGAUUCGCAUUAGAUCAACUUUUAGGUGAAUUUUAAGAACGUUUUAAGAUCAAAGACAUAUUUUAAAUUGUACUGCUGCAUAUCACCUUUAACUCCGCAUAUAUUAGGCCUUUAUGCUCUCUUCCACGUUUUGCAUUCCCAGCUCUGAUGAAGCAUCAUAAUUAUUUUCCUUUCGUUCUGUCAGAUCCACCGGGAGUGUUUUCGUAUGGCAGAUUUUGCUCUUUAGAUAUAAUAUCCUUUCUUGUUUUACAAUUCCCCUGUAGCUUUAUUCUGUGACUUUCCUUGGACCAUGCAAGAGCUGCUGAAAUUAUGGUCUCUUAUGCAGAGGCAUUCCAGAGGCUUUGCAUUAACUUAUCUGUGUUCAAAGAAGACAUGUCCUAGCAAUUGCAGGUUUGUUGCAUAUUAGGGUCCUCCAUCAAAGGGUUGCAUUUUCAUUCAUUUAUUCAGCGAGUGAAGUCCCGCUGCCUUUAGCCCAUCAUAUGCUUUCCUGACAGAGGUACAUUAACAACUCAUGUCUCUAGGCUCCACGUGACUACAUCCUGCUUCCUUGAUCCUCAUCCUUACACCCCAAGCCUCCACAGCCCUCACACCUGGAUUCACCACGGCACUUCUUGCAUCCUUAAAUGUGAGUCCCCAUCCAAACUCACCUCCUAUUUUUCUCACCAAAACUAUGGAUUUGUAACAUUUCAUAUCUGACCUUUGUUCCUUGGCAGCAGGCACACCAACUCCUAGGGGUGAAGGGGCCUUUGGACCCCUCAAUAAUCUAUGCCCCCAUAAGUGGAUCAUACAGACCUUUAAAUCAGGGAUAGAGAACCAGUGACCCUCCAAAUGUGGUUGGACUCCAGAUCCCAUCAUCUUCAUCCACCAUGGCCAAUGGUCAGCAAUGAUGGGAGAUGUAGUCCAGAAACAUAUGAAAGCCACGGGUUCCCCAUCCUGAAAUUCAAAUGAGAGUGAUGGAGAAGAACUUUGUGCAUUUUAAUUUUUAAAUAGAGCCUCUUUAGAUUUUUGUUGUGGUUACUUGCCACAUUUUCAGUAAUUUUUUUAAAAAUAAAAUCAUUCUAUCACUGGAUGGCAGUAGAGCUAUAAUACAAAUUUAUAGACACACAGAUGCUGCAGAGAUGCAUCAGAGGCCAUAUUUAUGUUUCUCUGUAUAUUUCUCUGCAGUUCCAGUUUGUAUUAUAAGCUUUAAGAAGUGUCAAGCAUAGGAAGGCCCUGCAUUUCCAGAUGGGAUUAAUGCUGAAUAUAUUUUAUUUGCCCAGACACCAUAAAUAAUGGGAGGUGAGGUCUAAAAUUCCUCAAAAAAAUUUUUUUGGGGAUAUAGAUGGCUCCAAACUUGGCAGAGUAUUUUUUAAAAAUGUAACUUUAUUGCUAUGUUUUAAAACUUACUUUGCACGACAGUUCCUUUCCAGCUGUAAUGUUACGGUAUCAAGCUCCUAUUGCAGAGAUGGAUAACCUAAGUGCAGGGAAUGGAUGACCGCCCUUCCCUUCCUAUGCCUCUCAAUAUUAUCUUUGUGGCUCCCUGAAGGUGAGACACUCUCCUGAACCAUGCCCCUCCCCUCCCCUGCUCUGCACCCUUCCUUGUGUGUUUUUGCCUUCCUGGCAUGUGUCCUUGAGCUCAGUGGGUAGAGCAGGUUCUGUCCCCAGCAUCUCCAGCUCGAGAAGAACUGCUACCAGCCAGUGUAGGUCAGCCUUUCUCAAACUUUGGUCUCUUGAUGUACUUGGACUACAACUCCCAUCAUCCUUAGCUACCAGGAUCAGAGAUUAUUGGAGUUGUAGUCCAACAACUUCUGGGGAACCAAGUUUGAGAAAGGCUACUGAGCUAAGUAUAAGGCGUCUUCCUAUGUUUCUGUGUUUCCAGAUCAAGUGCCAGAGACAGGAACAUAGUCAAAGAUGGCAAAGCAAGGCAUCAUUUGCUGUUGUUGUAUCAGAUAAGUCCAUGCAACACAACUUAGAGCAGGGGUUAUAUCUAGCCAGCCAGGCUCCUAUUGGUACCUCAAGCCACAUGAUCCAGACUGAAUUGAAGAGUUCUGGAGCUUCCAUCAUCCCUGAUCAUUGGCCAUGAAGGUCGGGGCUGAUGGGAGUUGGAGUCCAGUAUCUGGAGUUCCCCAUCUCUGGUAGCAACUCUACAUGUAUUCAGACUGUUCAUGUAGUCUAGCCUGUAGCUCUUCAGACGCUUCAUGGUGCUGAUAAUACCAGGGGUGCAGGUGUUAAAUGGAGAUACUGGGUUGAAUUUUAGACUUUCUACAUGCAAGGUGCUUUACCUCUGAAAUAUUACCCUGAUUGUAUGCCUGUCAUCAUGCUACACAACCAAUAAGAUGUAGCUGUAAGCGGCCAUCACUUAAGACAAGUGACGGCAUUGGACAGUGAGGGCAAAUGAAACUUGCAGGCCAAUACUUUUGCAAAGGAUGGCGAAAAGUGGUUGAAAAUGUUCACAAAAAACCUGUGAGCCAUUUCAGCUCAGUCUUUAUCCCCACUGUUGCUAUGAUUGCCUGUUUUAUUCUGCUGUAUGCUGAAGUCUCAGGACAGUUUCCAAUGCAGUGUUUAAUCUGCGACAGCUCAUUUAAACAUGCAAGGCCAUCACCUGUUGCCUGGCAAAGUCGCUGCUUUUUGAAUAGUUAAGGGAAGAAGCCAGAUUUGCAAGGGACUACAAGAAUGCUGUGAUCUGCUUCUGCUUCCUCAGCAAUUAGGCCAAUUUGCGGAUUGCAGAUUGAGACCAACACAGCAGGCUUAUGGAGGCAUUUCAGAUGUUUGCUGGAAGGAGUUCACAGGGAAGGAACACUGUCAAAGUAACCGCCAAAGGCAACCAGAACCAACAAGUAUGACAACAGAACAAUCGCCUGCCCCCAGAAUAACUUUGUUUCCCUCCCCAUCUCAAAUCAGUGUCUGAUUAUGCCUGAACUGCAGCCAAAGUCUCUCCCUCUCCCUCUCUGCUGGCACAUUAGUCAGAGCUUUGACAAAGAGUAAAAAAAAAGAUGAGAAAAGGGGAAUAAGACAAAAUAACUUUCACAGCAGCAGCUCCUACAAGAACACUGAGAAUAUUCAUUGCCAAACAGGUACCCUAAAUAACGAGACAAUAAGGCAGAAAAGGGACAGUUCCACCGCAAGCGAUGGAAGAAGGAGACAAAAUUGUCUUUCUUGCUUGUCUUCCCUGCUGGCUUUCAUUCAAUUGACUGGCCGGUUCCUUUGGUUUACAGCUUUGUUUGCACUAUGUCUGUUACUUACUGAUGCUUGCCUUGCAUGCAUUGGUGCUUUUCCCUGGUUGGCUAUAUAGUAAUAAUAAUAAUUUAUUAUUUAUACCCCACCCAUCUGGCUGGGUUUCUCCAGCCAUUCUGGGUGGCUUCCAACAGAAUAUUAAAAUACAAUAACCUGCUAAACAUUAAAAGCUUCCCUAAACAGGGCUGCCUUCAGAUGUCUCCUAAAAGUCUGGUAGUUGUUUUUCUCUUUGGCAUCUGGUGGGAGGGUGUUCCACAGGGCUGGUGCCACUACCGAGAAGGCCCUCUGCCUGGUUCCCUGUAACUUGGCUUCUCUCAGCGAGGGAACCGCCAGAAGGCCCUCGGCACUGGACCUCAGUGUCCAGGUAUAACGAUGGGGGUGGAGACGCUCCUUCAGGUAUGUUGGACCGAGGCCGUUUAGGGCUUUAAAGGUCAGCACCAACACUUUGAAUUGUGUUCAGAAACAUACUGGGACCCAGUGUAGGUCUUUCAAGACCGGUGUUAUAUGGUCUUGGCGGCUGUCCCAAUCACCAGUCUAGCUGCCGCAUUCUGGAUUAGUUGUAGUUUCCGGGUCACCUUCAAAGGUAGCCCCACACAGAGCGCAUUGCAGUAGUCCAAGCGAGAGAUAACUAGAGCAUGCACCACUCUGGUGAGACAGUCCACGGGCAGGUAGGGUCUCAGCCUGGCUACCUAUGCCACUGCUCCCCUGAGCUUAAAUACAUGACCUUUCACACACCCUUUCAAACACAGAAAUUAUGAGAGGACCCCAAACUUCGCAGAAAGAGAAAGAAAGAGAAUGAGAAAGAGAGGACCUGAAGUACAGGACAAAAUGUUUAUCAAUACAGGAUGCAGCAUUUUACAAUGAAACAUGGGACAACCCUGUAUUAUACAGCACAGGUGACAACCCUACUAAUCCACAGGUUCCCUGUCCCUGUUUCAAGGCAUUUCACUUGGAGGUGGAUUGGGGGGGCGGGGAGAGGAUGUCCUUCCAAAGCAAGCCUAGCCAGUGGAAAUGUAUGGUUGAGCUCCUCCACAGGUUUUGAUGUUGGCACUGAAAAGUGGCUUGGAUGAAGCCAUGGACUUGCAUUAGCAAUGACAGAAGGCUCGCUUAAGUGCCGCAGUGACUAAGGGCACGUUGCUUGAUCAUAAAGCAGGGUUUGAACAUUUAAAGGUUUUGUUUUUUGUUUUUUUUAAAAGUCUUUUGCCACUUGCGGCCUCUCCAGCUGCUCUUGCAAUAAAGCAGAGGUCAACGCAGGCCCCUUCUGCUUAUAAAACAUCUGCUAAGUUGAAGCAGGUUAACGACAAAGUGCAGAGCUGUCUGUUUCAAGCGGGCAACUUAAUGCAUACUGGAGAAUUGCCUUCAUUGCCCUUGAUUGCGAAGGCAAAAGAGCUGGCGAAGCUGGCUCAAAGCGCCUUCUACGUUCAUUUCUGCUUUGCAGAGCAGACACCUCUAUUUCUCUUUCUGAAGGAUGCAUCAAAAUAGCCCACCAAGUUUUGCCCCUCUGUUAGGAGGCAGAGGAAUGGGGUGAUAUCAGCAGUUUGGAGAACUGUCCUGAAAUGUUUCUGGAUAGCUUAUCUUUACCUUGUCACUUUAAAGAAACAGACUCUCCAAGUGUCCCUAUUUUCCAGGGAUGUCCCUGAUUUAGAGAAGCCAUCCUGGUUUCUGAUUUGAUCCCAGAAUGUCCUGCUUUUCCUUAGGAUGUCCCAAUUUUCAUUGUAUAAAAGUUGGAGGAUAUGGAGUCAUCUGUCCCCAUAGCCGUCUGAAGGCAAUCCUGUAUAGGGAAGUUAUUUUUUUUAAUGUUUAAUGCUUUAUUAUGUUUUUAUAUAUGUUGGAAGCCUCUCAGAGUGGCUGGGGCAACCCAGUAAGAUGUUUGGGGUAUAUAUAGUAAAAUUAACAUUAUGGAAUAGUGCAUCCCCAUUUUCAUCAUAGAAAUGUUGGAGGGCAUGGAAAAACUCUCUGUCUCCCAUUCACCCCCUCUCUCCAUUCACUCUAUGAUCACACUUUAAACAGUCCUCUAAAGAAUUCUGGGAGCUGUAGUUUUUUAAGGGUGCUGAGAGUUGUUAUGAAAUCCCGGUUUCCCUCUCAGAGAUACAAUUUCCAGAGUGGUUUAACAGUCAAACCCUUUUCAAAAGCAACUCUGGGAAUUGUACCUCUGGGAAAUGAAGGGAGAUUUCGUAACAACUCUCUGCAUCUUUAGCAAACCACACCUCCUGGAAUGUUUUGGGGGAAGCCAAGAAUGUUUAAAGUGUGAUCAUAGUGCUUUUUAUGUAUGUUGUGAAUGUGGCCUAAUUCAGUCUCUCCCUCUCCUCCUCCCCUCCCUCCCUCAGUGGGAGAGAAAGCUCAUUGGAAUAGCCAACUACUGGCCAGCGUCCUCCAUUAUUUUUCUCCCAGAAGGCACCAGUGUUGGUACAUCUUGGAUCAAGUUAUCUCAUCCAGGAAUGAUAAAGCUAGAUGUGUUCAGCUGAUUUAUGGUAUCCAGUCCUAAAUAUCAGAUAAUGUCUCCUAGUGCUUUCAUGUAGAUGUUAGAUAGGCCAAAGAAGGAUAAGCUGGAACCCUGCAGAAUCCCAUGAGUAAACUGUGAGAGAGCUGAGCACGACCAGUCCCAUUCCAGCCAAUGGACAAGGGACAAAGGCAGCAGGAAAAGAGACCAUAUCCCACAAGUGUCUCAGAAAAACUGGGACAUCCCGUUUAUUAUCAUAAGAGAGUGGUGGCCAUUUUGGUUGCUGUGGUCUCACAUGAUUUCGUAGCAUGAUUUCUCCCUGAUGAAAGCACUUCGGGGGCUGCAAUAUCGUGUGGUGCCCCAAAACACAUGUUUUGGGUUGCAGUACCCAAAAAGUGUUCUUUUUGGGGGGCAGGGAAACCAUGUUGUGAAAUCCCACACAGUUACAGAAACUCAAAUGGCUGCCAUGCUCUUACGAUAAACGGAAAGAUGGGAUCCGGGAAGAUGACGUCCUGGAUUUUGGCUUCAAAGUGUUGGAGGGUGUGAGAGACAGGACCACUGAAUGAUAUCAAGUUGCUCUGCCCACUAAAUGAUGCAGGCAUGCUCCUCCACCAACAGGAGCCAACUUCUAGGGGCCAAGCUCCCUUUUGCCCCCCAUAAAAUAUUUGAGGGACCCACCCCCCAAAAGUUGAUGUGCAUUGCCCUUCAAAUGGUGUGCAUGCACCAUGUCAUGUGAUCAAUUAUGCAGGGUGGGGCUUACAUGCCCCCCCACUAUUUUAUUUAAGUUGGCACCCCUGCUUCCAUCUGUUGCUCCAUCAGUGGAGGAAAGUGCAUGGACAUCAGUCUGCACUACGCUUGUUCACAGAGAGUGGCUCCUCUCCUCCAUUCAGAACAGAUAGGAGGGUAGACAUCCAAUGGCUAAUCCAAUAUAUAUGGUGGAUAUUGAAGAAGCUGCAUUCGAUGCAGUAGAGGCUGAGUCGGUGCAAACAGGAACUCCACAGGAAGAGCAGAAAUCUCUAAUGCACUGUAGAUUUUUAAAGAGAUAUUUGCCAUCAGAGGCGAUGAGAAGCACACAGGCACCUCUGGGUGCUACGUUUGUGACCCUCGGCCCAAGAAAUACAGUAAAGAUGUGAGAUUCACACAAAGGACUUCCUGACUUAUAGCUCAGGUUCUUAGCCAGUCCACCACACUAUCUCUCAUUAUGCUUCACACCAUCUCACUGUAUUGCACCAACUCAUCCAGUCACGGGAUGCCUGCAGUUCCUUUUGCAUUUGCGUUGUGCCUUACUUUUUCUCAUUUCAUGGAAGAUACUUUUGCAUGGAAUAGCUGCUGUUUUUUAAGUUCGUUACCCCUACCCAUUAUAGGGCCUCCUUCUAUGAUUGGAGCUGCUGUUUUGAAACAGAUGUGCAAUAAAAUGAAUGUUAAGCCGAUAAUUAAUAGUUGGCUACAGGGGAGUGCUUAAAACCCCAAAUCAUAGACCAAGGCCUCAUUUGUGCAAAAUACUGCAUAAACAAUAAACAUAGAAAUGGGCCCUUGCCUCAGUGAGUUUAUUAUCGAGGUUUGUGUAUCCCAUCAGUUUUUCCCCGGCACAAGGAAGGUAGGGAGGUUAAAGGAGAAGACAGUAACACAAAGUUAGUUGGAAGAAGUACAGCAACUUUUCUCCCGGUGAUUAUAAUCCCUUCCUCCCACAAUUCUCUGCCUCAUGAACUUGCCAUUCCCCAUCACUUGUGUUCAUUGAAGUUCUCACAAUGGGGACAGCUUCUGUGGGGAGGACCAUAUAGCUUAGUGGAAGAUAAUCUGCCUCCUAGGUUGAAUCCCUAGUGUCCCCAGAUAGAAUUGGCAAAAGUUCUUGCCUAAAACCCCAGAAAGCUGCUGCCAGGAUAAUAUUGAGCUAAAAAAAUGAACCAAUGGUCAGACUCCGUAUAAGGCAAGUUCCUAUGUGGUCAUGUAUGUUGCAGAUAUUAACAUUGCAAAGCUUGAAGAAACUGGAAGCAUAAGAACUGACUCCUUUUGGACUAAAUCAUUGUCCAGACCCAUAAAAAUAUUAUUCAAAGUUUACUUGCAGAACUCUUCCAAACUAUAACAUAAUACAUGAAAUGAUGAUUGCAAAACAUCCGCACAAUGUCUUAUCCUGUCCAGCACAGGCUCAGCAUCUUGGAAAUAAAAGAUAACUCCAAAAAUCGAAACAGUGUCUCUCUCCUCCAUCCCAGCCUAAGGCUAUGCAGCUUCUUGGAGACCCAUUAUCAUAUCCUUUUGUUCUCUGUGGCAUUCAGAGAAAGACUGAACAGGCAACUCCCUUCAAAAUGGCAACCUGCAAUUCAAUACCUUUGUCACCUGAUCUAAGGUUACAACACUCACAUGUUAGCUGGCAGAAAACAACAAUUAGAUAAAGAUCAACUCAUUAAGAAGCUGAGAGUCUCUUAGAAAACUACUGUGGGGAAAAACCAGUGUUGAACCUUCAUUAAUACACCAACAUUUUCCAUUUCUGUGUCAAUUAAACCAAUUAUACUUAACAAUGGAAUAUGCAUAAACAUUCUGACUGAAGAAGUUGGAAUGGGCAGUUAUGGAUUGCUAAGCACAGAUGAAACUAGUUAAGUCUGGACAGAGAUGGGGCGGAGUUUCUCAAUAUUGAGCCAGGAAACAGUGCUGUUGCAGGGGGGGGGCAAAGUUUGGAAAGAUGGGAAAGCCCAAAUUCCUCAUAUUGGUUCAAGACAGCUAUCUGAAUGUUGAACAAGUACACAUAAUUAGCUAGGACAUCUUGCUGGUUUUGUAGCAUUGUGUUCUGCAGGCUCUGUCUCCUCUCCCUCCCUCCUAAAGGCUGUCUGAAUCUGUGCUUGCGAUUCCAGGCGAGGAAAGAAAUGUCCAUGUUCUGCUGACUGGAACACUUAUUCUUAAGUUUGCCAUGGGAAAAUACUGUCCUCUGUUAUCUUAAUAACCUGGGAGAUUGCAGUCUCUCUUUGCUUAGAGGGAGCUGACUCACGCUUAAUGGGCAGAAGGCUGCAUUAUGUUGAGGUUAAGGUAGGUGACAGUCUCUAUGCAGCACGGAGGGAACACAAGGCUGUUAAAUCUGCUGGGUUCUUUAGCUUAAAAGAGCAUUCGUGUACAGGACCUACCAGUGCUCUAAGUGGACCGGCAUUAGCUCUGCAAAAUCUAUAUUCACCUUUUUUUUUUACUUAAAGAGCCUUAGAUUGCUCACUCAUUUGACUGGUGCCGAGUGGAAAGAGGAAGGAAAGGAAGGCAAGGACAAAGCGGAAAGCUGAUUCUCUCAUAUGUUGCACUUGCCACAGGUAGUAUAUGAAUUGUUGGAUACACCGCCACAAUUUCAGUGCUCCUUUACGAAGUGUGCAAUUAUGAAAUUUGCUGCUGCAAGUCAUGGCGAUGAUCACCAAUGUAAAUGGCUUUGAAAAGGGAUCGGAACAAUUUUGUGAAAGAGUGGUCUACGAUUAGGGGACGAGCUGUCACUCCGUGGUAGAGCAUCUGCUUUGCAUUCAGAAGGUCCUAGAUUCAGGGAAACUCCUGUCUGAAACUCUGGAUUGCUGCCACCAAUCAGUGUAGACCAGGGUUCCCCAAUCUUGGGUCUCCAGCUGUUUUUGGACUACAACUCCCAUCAUCCCUAGCUAGCAGGACCAGUUGUCAGGGAUGAUGCGAAUUGCAGUUCAAAAACAGCUGGAGAAAAUACUGAGCUGCAUGGUUCAAUGGUCUGAUUCAGCUCAAGGCAGAUUCCUGUGCUCCACUCUGAAGCUAAGCUAGUUAAGUAGAACCUCAAUAUUUCAAGGCAGCGAUCCUCUAGUUUCUGGGGAACGAACAAGGAAAGAGCGCUGAUACCUUCAUGCAGUGAUGGCUUCAUCUUUUAAAGCACACUGGGGCAAGACACACACUACGGAGGCCCUCUCUGAGUGUCUCCACUUCCUCUUCACUUUGGGACUCACCCUGGGAAUCGCGCUGCUUCCCCCGCACUCCUCUUUCUUCGCCAGUGGAGACAGUAAUGAAAGCAAUGGAUGCUUUUCUCUUUUUUAAAAAAUGAUAUUUAUUGAGAUUUCAAAAACAAAAAAUUACAUAAAAGACAAUGAAAAAUAUAGAAAAAAAAGAGAGAAAACAUACAAAAUGCCAAGUAUAAAAAUAUAUAGAAAGAACACUUAGAAACAAAUUUAUCCUUUCGUAUCUUACAUUUCAUUUCCUUGCUUUCCUGACCUCCUCUCACCUCCCUUUUUUGUAUUCCGGUUCAACUGGUUAAUUCAGCAAUUCCUUUCCCUCUUUGUUUUUGUCUUAGUCCUUUAACUGAAUAUAUUAUAGCUUUAAAUUCUCACCUAUUAACCAGCCAUUUUUUCAUACACCUUUAUGACAUUGCUGCUAGAACCACUUAAUUUCAUUCUGACAUCAUUCUAACAUUCAUUAAUUUUACAAUUUUUCUGUAAAUAGUCUUUAAAUUUCUUCCAAUCUUCUUCCACCGACUCUUCACCCUGGUCUCGGAUUCUGCCAGUCAUUUCCGCCAAUUCCAUGUAGUCCAUCACCUUCAUCUGCCAAGCAAUGGAUGCUUUUCUCAAGUGAAUUAGUUGUCACAGCAAGAUGGAAGAGGAGCAGGGCCAGGAUGUCUCAGGGGUUGACACUGGACUCCUGCAAUGGUGUGAUUACUGGCCAGUUUCCAGGUGAUGCUGCCUAGCCCAAACAGUGAUGCAUAUGUAGACAGUAGUCCUGCCUUCCUACCUUUUUGUCUGUUGUUGGAAACAGGAAUCUGAGCAGCAUGGGUCUUUGGCCUGAUCCAGGGGGGCUCUUCCUAGGUUCUCAAUAUUGCCAUGCCUCCCACGUGAGUGACCUUGAAAGUCUAGAAUUAUUUUGGAAUCCCCAUUGUUUCAUUAGUGAUUCAUAAUUAAUGUUUAAUAUAGGAGGCAGCAAUUACUACUAGGCGGAAAAUCCAAUAAAAAUGCAUAAUUUCUUCAUAAGGAAAAGAGGCCAGAAUUAAGCAGAUUGCCCAUUUCUCCCUUGACUUUGUGGCAGUACUUUGAAAUCUAACCUGAGUUGGUCUUAAUAAAAAUCUUCCUAAAUGUUCCGAGGAAGCUCAAAGAGAUAAGUCGAUCGGUGCAAACUUUCCCAGUUUAAGGCAAAUCUUGAGAUCUGUGUGCACCCCUAAUUAAAGCUCAGUUGUGUCUACUUCUCUUUUAAUUAGGGGUGUGUGAGAGCCCCAAGAUUUGUCUCACAUCUGUAUUGUUGUUGUUUAGUCAUUUAGUCAUGUCCGACUCUUCGUGACCCCAUGGACCAGAGCACGCCAGGCACUCUUGUCUUCCACUGCCUCCCACAGUUUGGUCAAACUCAUGCUGAUAGCUUCGAGAACACUAUUCAACCAUCUUGUCCUCUGUCGUCCCCUUCUCCUUGUGCCCUCCAUCUUUCCCAACAUCAGGGUCUUUUCCAGGGAGUCUUCUCUUCUCAUGAGGUGGCCAAAGUAUUGGAGCCUCAGCUUCAGGAUCUGUCCUUCCAGUGAGCACUCAGGGCUGAUUUCCUUAAGAAUGGAGAGGUUUGAUCUUCUUGCAGUCCAUGGGACUCUCAAGAGUCUCCUCCAGCGCCAUAAUUCAAAGGCAUCAAUUCUUCGGCGAUCAGCCUUCUUUAUGGUCCAGCUCUCCCUUCCAUACAUCACUACUGAGAAAACCAUAGCUUUAAGUAUAUGGACCUUUGUUAGCAAGGUGAUGUCUCUGCUUUUUAAGACAUCUGUAUUACAGAUCACAUAUUUUACAAUUCUGAUCUGCUUGCUGUGUGCUCUCUGCUUCGCUCUGUGUCUUGGGUGCCGAGCUCUUCUGUGCAAAAUGAAGCUCUGUGUUUUCCUGCUCGCUGUAGCACCUAAAUCAUUCCUAGAAGCUGAAAAAGCUGCACCAGCCUUGCAAGUCUGCAUGGGAGCAUCAACCCUAGACAGGAGUUAACUGGAGGGAUGCUUCAAAAAGAAUCUGUUAAUGCUUGGACCUAUCAAAUCCAUCUUUUGUUGGGAGUUGAGAGAUUGAACAGCUGAUACAGCUCCCAGCAAAUGAGCCUUUCCCAAAUCUCAUCCAGCUUAAUAAACAGCUGAUUACCAAAAGCAUCAGAGCUUGUCUCUUUUCUGUGUCCUUACAGGCCUUACAGGUCUAGGACUUUUCACAUCUCUAAUAUGCCUUACAUGGCAAGGCUGCCUACAAUGCUGCCUAUGGGGUUCUUUAUUUUUUUAAUAUAAAAUAUGUAAGCUUUCCAGGAUUUCCUGGGGAACUUGGGACAACUAUUAAACUGGUCUAUUAAAUCUUCAGUGUAGGCCUGGAGACUGUCAGUCAGUUAAUUGGGCCAUGUCUCCAUGGAGACCUGUUAGUUACAGGUUGCCAUUCAUGUCUUGGAAGCAUCUGGUUUCCUUUUAUUUGCAUACCUUUAAAGUUACUUGGCACGAUUUCUGAGUAGUUUGGAUUGCGUCGUCUGCUCUUCCGGUGCAUGCAGAACUUUCAAUAUUUUAACAUUUUCACUCUGAACGAAUCCCUCGCCCAGCUAGGCAUUUGAUCAUUCCAAGGUGCUCCCUUGUUUAUUUUAAUUGAAUGCUUGGCUGGGGAAUUAUGCUCAGAUCAAAAACAGAAAAUCAUCGGUCCAGACGCUGCAAAUGCUAAACGUCCUUGUAUGCUUGGCUUAUUGAUUGCAGUGUUAACAGAUUUAAAGGAGUGAUAUCCCUGUGAAAGAAAGAGAAACAAAUGAAAGGAGGACAGUGGAGAAACAGUUAUGGUGCUCUGUUGCAUGAAGAGUAAUUAAGAACAUGUCUCAGAAAGGAAAGAAGGCUAGAUACAAAAGGACAGAAGAACCGCCAGAGUUGGUCCAAAAUCUAGGGCAAUGGCAUACAGCCACAGAAUUCUUGGACUAAAGUCCAGACUCUAUGAGGGAUGUGAUAUGUCAGUAUGGCUGGGAGAAGAGAACACAGUGUGCUGGCAAAGCAGAGCAGAUGGAACCUAUUAUUAUUAUUAUUAUUAUUAUUAUUAUUAUUAUUAUAUCUGCCCUUCACCCUAAGGUCCCAGUGCAGGUUACCACAAGUAAAGCACAAUGUUGGAAACAGUCUCUAAAACAACUUGCAAUCAUAGAAAUAAGAUGGGUUCUGUUGCCAGAUAUGGAGUGGGAGUUUCAUAACUUAGGGUCUGCCACAGAGAAUUCCUUCUCCUGGGUUACCCACCCCCAUCCUGCCAAGGUUCCGAGGGUGGUGGAACAACCAAUAAGGCCAAUGAUAAUAGCAGAGGGGACCUAUAGGGUGGCUUCCAUUGAGACCUGUUAGUUACAUGUUGGCAGUUAUAUUAUCAUUAUAUACUGAAUAAAUAUGAGCACACCCUGAGCCAUGAUGUUCAGACAUGCAGUAGGAUAUAGUGAUCAUCUUUAACAGAUUAACCAUUCACUUAUGCAGGGCUAGCUGGCAGGGGUGAAUAAGAAUCCCAGAUAGAUAGAUGUGUGUGUGUGUGUGUGUGUGUGAGAGAGAGAGAGAGAGAGAGAGAGAGAGAGAGACCCAAGUUAAAUGGGACAACAGCUGUCCAUUUUCUUAGCUAUCCCAUUGUCAUGGGUUGACCCAUUGGCAAUUGUCAAAAUGGAGCUGGGAACCACAAGUUGUGGCACUUUGGGUGGGGGUGUCGGAUCUGAGGGAUAAAGCCAGAAGCCAAGCCAAAGACCAGAACCAGGAAGACAAUUUUUGCUUAGGCAAAAUCCCAGACUGUACAGCAAGGGGCGUACAGCCUGUAGCUCAGAAACCUAUCUCACUCUGCUGUGGAUCAAGUCUGAUAGGUAGGCAGGCCUGUCAAUCACUUGCGACCACUAUGAUGUCCGAUGAAAAGCAGGGCAAAGAAGCAAGGACAGAGCUCUUCACCCAACACCUUCAUGCACCCAUUGCUCUAAUCCCCUGCCUCUACUUCUUUACAGAGUAGCAUGCAGGGAGUAUUAACCUUUUCCUUCCCUGCUGUGCCCAACUCCCCAUAAUCCUCCUUUCAGCAAUUAGACUUGUGGGGGACGGGACAAGUAAAGCACAAUGUUGGAAACAGUCUAAAACAACUUGCAACCAUAGAAAUAAGAUGGGUUCUUCAAAAAAUGGAAGGAUUAGUCAUCGCAGUGUAGGGAGAAGGGGAAAGAGGGAGGAGGCAGGGCUCCGUGGGAGACCUUGAAAUGGGCCGAAUGCUCCCCACUCCUGUUUUACAUGAGCCAGAAAGACAAGUAAGCAAUAAACAUUGCACUUACCCCCUCCUUUGUUUUCUCUCUCUUUUCACAUGUUAAUAAAUAAAGGUAUGCAUAAAGGUAACCAUUGCCCAUUAAGUUGAAAAAGAGAUUCUGGAAGCUUGUGUGAGGAACCAUCUGCCAGAUCAUCUAGCAAUUACCAUUAUUAUUACACUUGUAGCAGCACGUGCCACAAGUCUGCUGCACAACUUAAUAUAUCCUUGCUCCCCAAAGACACACGAUAGAGGAACACAAAGGAGCUCCUGACAGCACAAAGUUACAAGCAUGGCAACGAUAACCUCACGCCUCGGUGCCUCAACCUCCGUGGCUUUUGUUCUUCUCUGAGUAUGCAGCAUUCUUUUGAGAGCUUCAGUGGGAAGGGAUUAUGUUCUUUGUACAGCCAUCUUGUCAUUAAGACGUCCACACAUUACAGCAAAGUCAGGCAACAGAAAUGAUUCAUUAACUCUUUUGUUCUCUUCCUCUGGCCUGGUUCGUAGACUUUCCGGGUCGGGGCUGCAGGUUUGUGCCGGAGAAGCAUGCAUUUGUGCCCCUCUCAUUGCCGUUUUGCCCAUCAUGUGCUGCAGACGUGGGGAACCCAUGGCCCAAAGCAACUUGAUGAGUGGGGCAAAGUUGCUACACUGGCUUGCUGACAGGUGGGGCGCUGAUGUUUGCCAGAAAGAAAAAGGGUGAGUGAGGGAGAAAAUUCCCUUUGUGGGUUCAAUAUGGAGGCUCAAACCAGAUUUCCAAUCAGUUAGACUUUAUUCAGCAAUGCAUUACUGGAUAGAGUCCAAAAGAGUCUGUGAGAUAGCACAAUCCCUAUAUAGGCAAUAUAUUAGCUAUAUAUUAUAUAUUUUAGCUAUACAUACAUACACACACACACACACAUAUAUAUGUAUACACCCACACCCACACCCACACCCACACAAAUAUAUAUACAGUGAGGGGAAAAAGUAUUUGAUCCCCUGCUAAAUUCGCCCAUUUGCCCUCUGACGAAGAAAUGACCAGUCCAUAAUUUUAAUGGUAGGUUUAUUGUAGCUGUGAGAGACAGAAUAACAACAGUAAAACCUGUUAUUAGCUGUUUGUUCUCAACCUUCUGCCACUCCAGUCAUUGAAAACACUUAUUGAACCCAAGUUCUUUGUGUUAAGUGCAGGGCCCUCCUUGCAACUUAUCUGGAAUUGUUUUUCACUCUGACAAUCAGCAUUAAGGCUCCUACUUCUUCUUCUUUGGUGAUUCCCCGUAGCCAAGUAAGAUUGUCUUCCAUGAACACGGUCUUAAUGGUGAGUCCGUAAGUGACUGUGGAGGCCAAUUCUGGAUCCACACGCCCUUCCACAGUGGAGACAUAGGUUUCCAGGUGGGAGUUGAUCAUGGUGAGGGUUCUUUCGUCCUGAGUUCAAGAGUCUUCAAAGCCCAUAACACCUUUGGUAAAGGCUGUUCUCCAAUUGGAGCUCUCUCAAGCCAAUGUUUCCCAGUUGUUUGUGUUUAUACUACAAUUUUUAAGAUUUGCCUUGAGGGAGUCUUUAAGCCUCUUUUGUUGACCACUAGCAUUACGCUUUCCAUUUUUAAGUUCAGAAUAGAGUCUUUGCUUUGGAAGAUGAUAAUCAAGUAUCCGCACAACAUGACCGGUCGGAUACCUGAAGCUGGACUCAGAAAUAAAGGGUUUUGCAGCUUUUCCACUUCAAGAGGUGAUAGAGAGGUUGGCUUGAUGCAAACAAAUCAGCAGAGAAAUUCCGGUGCUCUUGUGUUUGCAUUGUGCUCAGCUCCCUGCAGUAUCACCCAUCCUGGAACUAAACAGCGACCCACCUGCUGGGAUCACAGUAUAGCAGCCCCAUGCACCCUGUCAGCCACAUCUGUGUGUGGUCCUCUAGAUUGUUCUUGUCCCCUAAAUAUCAUGUACAUCACAUCUGCCUGAUUAUUGCAGAUACAACUGUAGGGGAACAUCUAUGAAGCCUAUUUGUCAGUGACUAGGAAGCUGAAAGAGAAGAAGUGAUUGGUUCACUGGAUGAAGACAAAAAUGAAGCAAGUCGCCUACAAAGAAGAUCCUAUCCUACAUCAUUACACGGUGAGCUGCCAUCACUGGUGGAACAAUGAAAGCCAUCCCCAAGCUCAUCAUAGACCCUGGUAUGGAGUGGGGAGAGGAGUUCCAACAAGCACUUGGGUGGGUUCAAAGUCAUUCAAGGUUUUAUACCUAACAUCAAUAUGUUUUAAUUGAGCCCUGUAAUACAGAGGCAGCCAGCACAAAAUCUCAGUGUAGGUCUUAAAUGACACGUGCCUCAAGCAGCCCUUUGGCUGCUGCAUCCUACAGUACAAUUGCUACUGUAGCAGGGCAUCAAGAACAACCCUAUGCAGAGCACAUUACUACCCAUCAAUAAUGCCUCCAACCUCUUUGGAUUCAGUUUAUUGGCCCACAUCCAACCCAUCACAGCCUCCAGACACAAGUUCAGUGCUGAAAUGGCUACUUGUGAUUCAGAUGGUAUGGAGGGCGUAGUCCUGUGUGUCAUCCACAUAUUGAAGAUACUGAUACCUCUCACAAUGAGCUGGAGACCUCGCAAGAGGAUACUAGGUGGAGUUCUGGUUGCAUCCUGUUACCCAGCCCUAUACCCAGGGGAGAUAUGAUAACCAUCUUCAAAUAUCUCAAGGGCUGCCACAUGGAAGAUGGAGCAAUCUUGUUUUUUUCCUGCUUUUGUGGGUAGGACUCAAACCGAUGGCUUCAAGUGACAAGAAAGGAGAUUCUGACUAAACAUCAGGAUGAACAUUCUGACAGUAAGAGCUCUUUGACAGUGGAACGGUCUCCCUCAGAAAGAUGUGGACUCUCUUUUCUUGGAGGUUUUUAAGCCGAGGUUGAAUGGCCCUGAGGGACUCUGAGUUCAACCCCCUGUAAUUCAGGAAUCUCAACCAAGGCAUCUAUGGCCAUGCAACUUCUUCUUAAAAACCUCCACUGAAGGAGCUUUUACAUGUAUAGGAUGUCAGGCUUAAUAGCUUAUCACAGUACAGUGGUACCUCAGGUUAAGUACUUAAUUCGUUCCGGAGGUCCGUUCUUAACCUGAAACUAUUCUUCACCUGAAGCACCACUUUAGCUGUAGCCUUAUUGGAGUUCACUGAUUGGGUCUGCGUUGCUCCGGGACGGGAGGAAGGAAGUCAAAUGACACCGAGGUUGAUUCAAAGAAAGAGUUUAUUCUGCUCUCCGGAUAGCAGAAGGCACUUGCGUGAUCAAGUCCACAGCAAGUCCAAAGAAAUGACAAGUUUCAUGCAGUAUAUAUAUCCUCCAGGCACCCUCUCCCUCCUUCCCAUAUAAAUCCAACCACGUCAGCCUAUGUAUGCAGGUUGACAUCACAUAUGUUCUUGCUGUGGUGUUCUUAACCAUAAAAGGGAAUUCCUUCCUGUACUUCUGACCAUAAAAGGAUCUUCCUCUUCCUACUCUUAUCUUGGAGGAAGAGGUCAUCAUCUCCGAGAACACGCUUUUGGCAUUGUUCCCGGACUGGGUCUGUGGUCUUUGUGUUUGUGGUCAGGACAUAAGAUAAGGUACAGACGCAUCAUCCCUGCUCUAGUGGAACUUGGCAAGGUCACUCAUUGCCAUCACUGACUGAUAAGGGAGAGAGCUUUGAGCACAGCCGGGGUUUUGUUUAUACAUUGACUCAGAGCUCAAGUUAAUGGAUUUUAGCUAAGGAAAAAGAGGGAUUUUGGUGCAGUUUCAAACUGCCUGCACAGUCAGUUUUGGGUUUUGGGAAACCCAUUCCUUCAUAGCUAAUGGGGCCUCCUGCUGCCGCUGUGCCGCCACCACACGAUUUCUGUUCUCCUCUUGAAGCAGAGUUCUUAACCUGAAGCACUAUUUCUGGGUUAGCGGAGUCUGUAACCUGAAGCAUAUGCAACCUGAAGCGUAUGUAACCUGAGGUACCACAGUAGAACAAAUACUAGAUGGAGCUUCAUAGAUGGUUGUUACUUUAUAGAUAAUGCAUCACCAUCAUUAUCAUCAUUUAAUAUUUAGAACCUGUGAGAUUGCCAGAAAUUUUAAUGCUCACAAGAAAUAAUAGCAUAAGACUUGAACCAAAGCAGAAUGCCCAUCUCCACUACCUUUUUUAUUGAAUGAUGCCCUAUGAGGAAGGAAUUACCUACAGAGUGGGAAGAUAGGGAGAUGUUAGAGGAACCUUUUUGGAAAGCAAGCGCUUAAGAUGAAAGUAAAUGCGCUUUGUGUCUUCAGAGGUGACAAACAGCUUAAAAAAAUGCAAGGACUCUGAACUCCGGCCUCUGAUCAUUUGUGAAUGUCAGAAGCAUAUUCCUGUACACUCAGUUUACUUCAGCUCAGAAAGCUAUACCAGCUGCACCAAUUAAGAUGUACCAAUUAAGAGCAUCCCUUGAUCCCUAGGUUAAGUCUGCACUUUGAAUGCUAACAUGGAUUGUUUUCCUGUUGCUUGUCCUGAGAGGUGUAGUAGCAGAAGCAAUAUCUCUUCUUAUGUUCUUGUGAUUGGAAAUGGGAAAUUUGUGGAGAAUAGCAUGUUGUAGCUCAAGAUACCCAAUGAGGUGCUCUCAAGGUGUUGUCAGACUACAACUCCCAUCACCCCUGGUCAUGCAUGUGGGGCAGAUGAGAGAAAACAUCUAGAGGGAACCACACUAGAGUGAAUAGGUUAUCCCUGUUCUAGCCUAUUGGUGCCAACAUACUUUAUUAUCUGGUGUGACAGUUCUCUUUGCUGCUUCCUUAUUUGACCAGAGCUCUCUCUUGUUCUCUAACAUUCUCGUUGGCUACAACCCACAGCAAAACUGUUCCUCCACAGUGCCACUUCUUGAAGGACUGUAUGCCUGAGCAUUCCUCUAUGGACACUUGAACACACACACACACACACACACACACACCACAAAGUUACGCCUAGAAAUCUAGUUGGAAGAAGGUGGAAGGCAGAAGAAAUUAGCAGGAUGGGAAUGAGGUCAGGAGAUGACAAGUGCUCAUGAUAUUUGGCUCAGACUUCAGUUUUGUGUGCAUUUGAUUGAAUUGUUCCUCAGACAAAUAAAUGUUCCAUUGCUAACCUUGGCUAAUUGUCAGUGAAUCCCACGCAAAAGACGUCUGAACACUUUUCUGUUUGUCUACACCUACUCAGUGCUGUUAGCAUCGUUCGGCUGUGACACUCAUACAUCAGGGAGGAGGCUAGACUAGAAAACAUCGUCCUGGCACCUCUCUCUUUCUCCUUCUCUAUCUCCCUGUAUAUAUACUUGCAAGAGUCAAAGUUGUCGCUGUAGAAAACUGAAGAGCUCUGGAUUGUUUUCAUUACAGCACAGCAGUGGAGGAGUUUCUUUGAAAAAAAAGUUAAGAGCUUAAAUUAAGUUUUAAAAAAACCCCGAUGAAACAAUCUGAUUUUGCUCUGAUUUAAUAACAAAAAAACAGCCCAAUCCAGGGCUGUCACAUGGAUGAUGGAGCAAGCUUGUUUUCUGCUUCUUCAGAGGGUAGGACCUGAAGCAGUGGAUUCAAAUUACAAGAAAGGAGAUUCUGACUAAACAUUAGGAAGAACUUCCUAGCAGUAAGAGCUGUUUGACAUUGGAAAGGUCUAGCUUGGAAAGUGGUGGACUCUGCAUUAUGGGAGCUUUUAAAACAGAGGUCAGGUGGCUAUCUGUCAGGGAUUCUUUAGCUGUGAUUCCUGCAUUGCAGGAGGUUGGACUAGAUAACCCUUGGGGUACCUUCCAACUAUGAUUCUAUGAUUCUUUAGAACUCCACAGGGAGCAUUUCAGGAUGUUGUGAGGCCUGGCAGAGACCUGUAAAGACAUACUGGAAUGCCUGCAAGACUAUGGAACACACAAACACUCCCACUGUGAAGCUGCAACAUUUUCUUUUUUAAAUGUACAAAUGAGAAUUCACACCACUUGGCCACCUCUUAAUUAUUUUAAGGUAAGAAAGAGAUGAAACUCACAUUCCCUUUCCAUAAAGGAUUAUGGAGGAACAUGAAAUCCCUUUACUUCCCCCACCAAAAGCCUUCUCUUAUAAAAAUUAAAAAAUGGCAUGCUUAAUCCACUCUGGAAGGGCUUCUGUGCUGAUAAAUUUCAUGCACUUUGGCCAAAAUGGGGGGGGGGGGAGUUACAGAUUUUUUUUUUUAAUUACCCAUUAUAGUGAAUGAGGGAAGGCAGAUCUUCAUUUUAUAGAGUGGCUUGGAACCUGAAAUGCAUAUCCAAGUGGAGAGGAGACAGUAACUCAGAGACGUAUAACAUCCCGCCCCCCAAUGAAAAUAUACAGAUACAGUGGUACCUUGGUUUUUGAAUGCCUCCUUUCUGAACAUUUCAGAAUUCAAAUGCUGUAAACCUGGAACAUGCCUCAGAAGUCAAACAGGAAAUGCGACUGCCACUGAGUGCAAAACCCUAAAGCCUAGCUGUCGGCUAUUGAGUUUCAGUUUUCGAACGUUUCAGAACUUGAACAGUCUUCCGGAAUGGAUUACGUUUGAAAACUGAGGUACCACCGUAUAAGGUGACUUUAUGGAUAGAAGCAAGCCUGGAAAUCCCUUCCUUGUACUGAUGCCCUGCUAUGAAGCUUGGCAUGCCAAUAUAGACUGAUGCCAUCAGUCCUUAUCAAUGCUUGGCAUUUAUGUUGGCCAGGCCACCCCAUGAAAGAUGGGAGGGCAUUAGGGUGGUCAUUUACACUUUGCCAAAUCAGUGAGAGGGGAUGGCAUCACCAAAGGAAGAGGGUACAGAUUUCCAAAUCAUUGUGCAUGUUGAUUUAGAUGAUAGAUAGAUAGAUAGAUAGAUAGAUAGAUAGAUAGAUAGAUAUACAAAAAUAAUUGUUGUGGAGCACAGUGACCUGUGUGGCUGCUCAGUCUGCUGUCCAGGAGUUGAGUGCUGAUGAGCAACUUCCAAGGCCCCCCAACCUCUCCUUUCCUGUGGUUCUUAAUAUUUAAUCUUGGUUUUGAUUGGACAGCCCUCCAAACAGAGGACUGUGCCCUUCAAAUGAAGCACAGUCCUCUGUAAAGCAGGACACAUGGACACAUUGGAGUGCAUCCUUUUCUUCACAAAAUGGCUGGAUUCUAGAUUAUGCUCAAUAGUAAAGGGUGGUGGUGGUGGUAGUCCAGAAAUAAUCUAGAAUUACAAUGAAUUUUUCUAAAUUACAGGGGGUGGCAAUUAGCAGGGGUUGGGUGUGUUUCUGGAUCAAAAGCAAGCUUUACUAUUGAUUUUUUGAGGGUGAACACCUUUAGCUCUUGUGCUCCCUAAGCCUUUGCUUUCAUUAUUCUGCUCCAUGCACAGACCCUUGUGUAGGCUCUCUUCACCUGGAUAGAUUUCAGUUGCCACUGUUUGACUAAUCUGCACAGAACUGCACACUCUGGCAGCAUACCUCAGCUGCAAAAAACCCCCUAAAACCCUAUAUUUUUAAAAAAGAUGGCGAGGACCCAUAGUUCAUUGCCAAGACAUUUGCUUCCCAAGCACUACAUUUGAGGUUUGAUCCCUAGCACCUUCUCUUAAAAGAGGCAGCGGGUGAUGGAAGAGACCCCAGAGAAGCACUAUCCACAAGUGUAGAUGGCAUUGGUCAAGAUGGAUCAAUACACCAGCUUAGGAUGUUCAAACAGUUAACGAAGGGAGGGGGAGUUAACUGUGUUAUACAGUCCUUUAAACAAAAAAGAUUUUAUGAAAACUAUAAGAGGGGAAAGAGGAGGGAGAAAAUAUUCAUGCUUGAUUGAUCGACUUUGUGUCUACAGCACAAUAACCUCCUACAAGGAUCAGCUAAACCGAUAUUCUCUUCUUAUCCCACAGCUAUUGAAAAGGACUUGAAAGAAAACACCCACCCAGCCCCUCCUUCCCCCUACCUGAUUUGAUUAAUGAAGUCAUUAAAAGAGAUGCACAAAGACUGCCGAACGAGCCCUGCAUUUCUAUGUCGGGACAGAGCAGCUUGAGCGUAUAUAAAAGCUGUUAUAGAAGUGAGUGCACUUAUUAAAUCUUCCAACAGAUUUUCCUCUAGUCAUUAUCAUGGAAGAGACUCCAAACCGCAUGCCAAGAAUCAUAGAUGAUCUACGAUUAUGUAGACAAAUCUCUCUCUCUCUCUCUCUCUCUCUCUCUCUCUCUCUCUAUCACAGGAACACGGAAGCAAGGAAACACUUCCUCGACCAACCGUGUGACAUUUUUUGAAGUGGAGCUCAGGUUGCCCCCUAAACACCAUCCACAUCACAUCUGCCUGAUCAUUGCAGAUACAACUGUAGGGGAACAUCUAUGAAGCCUAUUUGUCAAUGACUAGGAAGCUGAAAGAGAAGGAGAAAUGAUUGGCUCACUGGAUGAAGACAAAGUUGAAUCAAGUGGUCUACAAAGAAGGUCUUAUCUUGCAUCAUUACACAGUGAGCUACCGUCACUGGUGGGACAAUGAAAAGCCACCACCAAGCUCAUCACAGGACCAGGUAUUGGGGGGGGGGGGGGUCCAACAAGUACUUGGAUGGGUCCAAAGUCGUUCAGUGCUUUAUACCUAACAUUAAUAUUUUUUAAUUGAGCCCUGUGAUACAGAGGCAGCCAAUACAAAAUCUCAGUGUAGGUCUUAAAUGACAGGUGCUUCCAGCAGCCCUUUGGUUGCUGCAUUCUACACUACAAUUGCUACUGUAGCAGGGCCAUCAAGGACACCCCUAUGCGGAGCACAUUACCACCCAUCAAUAGUGCCUCCAACUUGUUUGGAUUCAGUUUAUUGGCCCUUAUCCAACCCAUUAUAGCCUCCAGACACAAGUUCAGCACUGGCUACUUGUGGUUCAGACGGUAUGGAGGGUGUAGACCUGUGAAUCAUCCACAUAUCAAAGAUACUGAUACCUCUCACAAUGAGCUGGAGACCUCGCAAGAGGAUGCUAUGUGGAGCUCUGGUUGCAUCCUGUUACCCAGCCCUUUGCCCAGGGGAGAUAUGAUAGUCAUCUUCAAAUAUCUCAAAGGCUGUCACAUGGAAGAGGGAACAAGCUUGUUUUCUCCUGCUCUGGAGGGUAGGACUCAAACCGAUGACUUCAAGUGACAAGAAAGGAGACUCUGACUAAACAUCAGGAUGAACAUUCCGACAGUAAGAGCUCUUUGACAAUGGUGUGGCGGUCUCCUUCUAUGGAGGUUUUUAAGCAAAGGUUGGAUGGCCAUGUGUCAUGGGUGUUUUAGCUGAGAUUUCUGCAUUGAAAGGGGUUGGACUUGAUGACCCUUGGGAUCCCAACUCUACAAUUCUGUGAUUAUAUGAUAUGAAGAGGCAAAGAUCCCCCAGCGUAGAGCCUCUUCCUCUGGGGAAAGGCCAUAGCUCAGCAGAAGAGCACCUUCAUUGCAGGCAGAAGGUCCCAUGCUCAAUCCCCAGCCUCAAAUAUGGGAAAACCACGUCCUGUUGGUGCAGGUAGUACUGAGCUGAGAGUGACCAGUGGUCUGUCUUGAUAGAAAGCAGCUUCCUAUUUUCCUGUUUUUCCUUGCCUUGACAGCCAUAUAAAUUAUGGUGAAUGCAGACAAAAGAACAGAACAAGCCAAUGCUCUUGACUGAUGCUUUCUUACAUAAAAAGCUGCUGUAGACCAAUUGUCUGUGUCCACUGCUAGCCAGUUCUACACCAAGCCCUGAAGGAAUCCUUUAACUGAAAUCACUCUCUGCUUUUUCUUAAUUAGUUUCAUUUCAGCCUUCAUCCCUAGGCUCCUUGUUUGCAGAGAUUUCUUCAGAUAGUCUCCUGCAAGAUUCAUGUCUUGAGACUUCAGAGCAGCUUGCUGUGAAUCUGGAUGAGCAUGUUUUGUAGCUGCCAGGCAGCAUAAUAAACUCUUCACUUGUAUUGCUAUUUAAUUUAUAUACCGCUUAUACACCAAGCUGGCUUCCAAGCAGCUUAAAGGUAUUAAAAAAUCAAUUAUAAAAUGCGGACAUAAUUUAAAUACACAAUUAACAAUCUGAUUAGGACAUCAAAACAUUCUUAAGUAAAAUAUUCAAUACAAAGCCAGCUAAAAAGCAUGACAAUUAAAAUUGUUAAAAACAAACAGAACAACAAAAUCAGAAGUUCAAAUACAGGGGAAUGCUUACCUAAACAUGUGCAUGUUCAGGAGUCAGCGGUAUCCCAAUACUGAUGUAAACUCUCAUAUUUCAGAAGAGAGGGUGUUCCACAGAGCUGGUGAAAAAGCUCGUCUCUGCAUUGAGCACCUAUCCUCUCAAGUGCUGUACCCCAAAGGGGGUAUUAGAGACUAAUGUUUGCAGAUUUGCAGAUUUGCAAAGACAAUCACUGAUGUCAUGAUCCUAGAGUACAGCAAUGCCCAUAACUGGACAGUGAAAUGCCACCAGCUGAGAAGCCAAACUGGGUUCCUGGCUCUGAUCCUGAUGAGGAUGAUCACAGAACUAGUGAAGAUGAGACUGGCAGGCAGGAUUCCACUGAACCAGAUCUCACAACACCAGGGCAUUGGAACUGGAGCCAAGAUGCUUCUGGGUGCCUUCCUCUGGGCCUUAGGAACUGAAUGCCUCCCUCAGUUCCUUGCCAGUUCAACAGGGGAAAGAGUGUACUGGGUAGGAAGCCAUGGAGGGCAGUAGAAGUGCUGUCUUCAGGCCAGAGGGUUGGCUUUUUAAGAUGUUUUAGUUCUCCAGUAGGAUGUGGGGCAUAGGAGACAUAGACUGAAUGCAGAGGCUUUAAAAGGCUUUAAAAGGCUUCAGAAGGAUAGAACUUUUUUUAUGUAUGCCACAACAACAGCAAGAAUACUCAUUGCAAAGUAUUGGAAGACACAAGAUCUACCCACUCUGGAAGAAUGGCAGAUGAAGGUGAUUGACUAUAUGGAACUGGCGGAAAUGACUGGCAGAAUCCGGGACUAGGGAGAAGAGUCGGUGGAAGAAGAUUGGAAGAAAUUUAAAGACUAUUUACAGAAAUAUUGUAAAAUUAAUGAAUGUUAGAAUGAUGUUGGAUAGAAAUUAAGUGGUUUUUAGCUGCAAUACUAUAAGGGAAUAUGAAAAAUGGAUUACUAACAGGUAAAAAUUUAAUGUUACAAUAUUUUAAGAUUAAUGAUUAGGAUAGACAAAGAGGGGAAGGAUUUGCUGAACCAACAAACCGAACUGGAAUACAAAAAAGGGAGGCGUGAGGAGGUCCGGGAAACAAGCUAAUGAAAAAUAAGUAAUGGAAAGAUUGAGUUGUUUUUAACUAAUUUUAUUUUUUGUGUUUUUCUUUCUUCUAUUUUUAUUUUGUAAUAUUUUGAAAAUCUUAAUAAAUAUCUUA